ensembl:snoRNA
GGCCUCCUAAUACUUACCUAAGGCUAUGUUCUUAUACUAACUAUAUAGAAAGAUGAGAGUAUGCCAAUUGUACACCUCAGCCCAAGCCCUGUGCCUGGUCUGUAUUGUGAAUGGGGAGACAUAG